rnacentral:lncRNA from 1 species
GCAAAAGAGUGACAAUGCUACCAAACAAUCCAACUCCUACAGAGGCACCAAUAUGCCUACAAAAUUUGUCGUAGAUGUGGCAAAUUUUAUGCCAAUCAGUAUGCUUGUUUCCCUUCAAACCCAAAUAUGCAACACUCCCAGCUGUUCCUGUUGCUGAAGCUAAUAUCCCCAACAUCACCUGCAAGAGAAUCAUUGGAUAAUGUUUAAAAGGAGAAGAUUAGUAUAAUAAUAUUUAGCAAGGUAAAAAAUGAAAUUAAAAGGCUAAUUGAUCAAUUACCGCAUCCCAGAAGAUUAAAUGGAGGAGAAGUUUGGUUUUGAGGUUUGGCUUUCGGAUGGCAGAGAGUGAUAUAAAAGUUGUAAUGAUACUAUAAAGCCCAGCAACAGAGAAUGCAGCCACAAAAU